UGGGGAAUCUUGCGCAAUGCGCGACAGCGUGACGCAGCAACGCCGCGUGGGGGAAGACGGCCUUCGGGUUGUAAACCCCUUUCAGUUGGGACGAAGGUCCGGCCGUUAAUAGCGGUCCGGACUGACGGUACCUUCAGAAGAAGCCCCGGCUAACUACGUGCCAGCAGCCGCGGUAAUACGUAGGGGGCAAGCGUUGUCCGGAAUCAUUGGGCGUAAAGAGCGUGUAGGCGGCCCGAUAAGUCCGCCGUGAAAGUCCAGGGCUCAACCCUGGAAUGCCGGUGGAAACUGUCGGGCUGGAGUCCGGAAGAGGCGAGUGGAAUUCCUGGUGUAGCGGUGAAAUGCGCAGAUAUCAGGAGGAACACCAAUGGCGAAGGCAGCUCGCUGGGACGGUACUGACGCUGAGACGCGAAAGCGUGGGGAGCAAACAGGAUUAGAUACCCCCGUAGUCC
rnacentral:rRNA from 1 species